GUUAAGGUGGCAGAUUAGUGCGUUAGGUUUAAGCCCUAAAUAUGGAGAUUAAACUUCUCUUCUUAAUA
rnacentral:tRNA from 2 species